GCAGAAGUCUACGUGACCAUCAUCAUCAUCAAGCCCUUCCGUCCCUUUGAUGUGGAGAUUUAUUAAUGGGAUGUUCAGCUUGACACAUCUUUAUUCUCUUUUCAGUGACUACUAGCAGACAAAAGAUUAUCGCUCUUCUCUCAAGGUGUACAUUUCAAGAGGAUUUCAGGGAUCACCUAACAAAGACUUCCUUCAAGGCUUCAUCGUGCUAUGGCAGAAAGUCUAGGCUUUGUGAGGAAUAAGGAGAUUUGCCAUUUAAACAA